ensembl:lncRNA
GAGUCCGCCCCAGGACGGUCUCUCUCCGUUGCCGGGGCCGCAGAUGCGAAGGGCUGGGGUCCUCCUGUUUCCAGGCCGCAGGCUCUGGGGCAGGGCGGCUCCUCCUUACCUCCGGGGUCAGCCGUCCGUGUCUGUUCCCAAGUGACCCCUCCUCAGCCCUUGUCCUGCCCGGGGUUGGGAAGCUUGGCCCCUCUGAGAACCUGCCCCCUCGGUUCCUGGUUUCUCCCUAUGCGGGGCCUCCCAGGGUUUGUCCACCAGGUCCUGCUCGCGCUGCUGAGACCAGGCGUACCCUCUGCUCUGGUUAGCGGCCUCCACGACCCUCAGGGAUCCUGUCCCUGCCGGAAUCCCGCAGGGUCCAUGGGCCGGACCUCCCAGGAGGGUGAGCCUUCGGGGUCACGCUUGGAGUUAGCACUAGCCGCCCACCCCUCCAUCACAGAGGAGCGGAGAGGCCCGGGUCUGGGGGUCUCGGCAGGGCCUUGGCCAACUCUCCCAGGAGGCUUCUCGCCCCGUGGUGAGCGCCGCCGCCGGGCGGGGCGGGGGCGGCGAGGCUGCUGGAGGCCCGCGGAGCACCGGGGUUUUCAGCGCCCUCCUCCCGCACCCGCCUCAGGCCUGCGUGGGGAACCCUGGGAACCUGUCCGCAGCGUCCGGAGCAUCGGCCGAACUUCGCGUCCCAGGCCUGCCCGGGGAACCCUGGGUGUGGGCAGGACGGGGACUUCACGAGGCCCCUCAGCGAGGAGCUGACCCAGGGCGGCGGGCAGUCGCUGCAUGGCCCGCCUCGAGAGUCACUGGAGGACCCCUCAGGACGGGAAUUUCUCCAGCUCCAGCCUGGAUCUGAGGCUUCCAGAAACAGCACAUUGGCAGACCUGUGGAUGUCGAAGCAAACAUUAGGAUGACAACCAAACAAACUUAUUCCUGUUGCUUUAGGAAUGGACCAAAAAUAUAUCGGAAGCAAUUAUUGGCAGAAUAUAACCUGAAUUAUCUGAAACAGCAAUCUGCAGAUCCAGAAAGCACAGCAAACCCUGAACAGGAGAAUCAAAAGGAAAGCCACCCGAGGCCCCUGGAACAAGUUGCUGAAAACCAAAGAUAAAAAAGCAGCCAGAUGCAGAAAGAGAUUUAUUCCAUGUCGGGAGCAAGGAUAAAACUCACAGAGGAUAUUUUGUCACAAAAAUAAUGAUUGGCGGCAAGAAAAUGAAGCUGAAUAAAAAGUCUGUCAAAUAGGAAUGCAUCUAGCAAAAUCAUCUUUCAAACGUUAAGGAUAAAUAAAGACACUUUAAGGGGAAUUAAAGCUGAAUGAACGUGUUCCCAGCUGAUCUGCACCCUGAGGAAUGAUGAAGGAAGUUCUUCAGGCUGAAGAGGGAUUUUAUCAGAAAGAAACGUGGUGUCCAGAAGUAAUAACAAACACUGGGAAGAGUAAAGAUGAAGAUGGAUAAAAGCAGGGUUUCCCUUUCUUCUGCCACGUUCUUCACAAGUUGACUCUUUAAGACAACAAAACACAAAACACGGUGAGAUUACCACACGAAAUGUAAGCGGAAGGGAGUAGCAGACAAGACAGGAGAGGCUGAGGGUGGCUUUAUGUCAUGAAGGUCUUCAUAUGACAGAGACGGAUGAGACUGGGUCAGAGUAAACCAUAAAAAGAUAAAGAUAAAAAUGGUGAUUUUGAGGGAAACCUCUGAAAGAUAAAUAAUAGACACAAAAAUCAACGGAGGAACAGAUUGGAUCAUGAAAAUUCACCCGUUCAAGCCAAAAUAGAAUAUAGCAAAAGAAAAAAUAGGGACCCAAAGGGGAUAAAUUGGGAAAGACUCGUAAGAUGGUACACCGAAAGCCAGCCCAGAGGGCGCUCAUGGGAAGAGGUCAGACGUCCAGGCUGUGCCCCAGCUGGGCCCAGGGCCGGGCUUGUCUCCAUCGCCAGGCGGUGGGCCAUUCUCACCGCUUGGAGACUUCAGCUGUUUCCAGCUUCUCUGUAAGCAGUAACGCUGCCCUGAAAGCUCUGUGUUUCUUUCUGCGGUCGUGCUGCGGUUCCUAAGGUACAUUUCUGAGCACACCUCUUUAUCCACACAUAUAGACAUGUGACACUGAAACGUUCUCUUCCCCUUAUGGAUAAGCCAUCAGCUCCCAGUCAGUUCACGUCUGUGGCUGAACCCUAGAAACAGUCUUUGAAGAAAUUACAAAUACAUUUUGAAACUUGAAAUAUAUUGUUGACUUCUUUUCUCUCUUAUAAUCUAUGUGUUGGAGACACUGAGACGUUGGUCUUCCAGAAGCCCCACCAGCUGGUGCUGACGACUGCAUCCCUGAUGUGUAACUUUGAAAGUAUUUUCAUCAGCUCCCAGUAUUUUCUGUAAAUUGAUCCUUAGAUCAAGAUGCUUCACCAACUUCAUGGUGUUGAUCCACGUUUUUGGUGAGGCUGUUCCCCUGGUGACACUGUGCCCCAUGACCAAGACGUAUCUAGGGUCUGGUCACCGCUUUCUCUCUCUCUCCCUCACUAACUGGCGUUAACCGUCACCACCCAGGCUCAUUAAUGUAUUAAGGGUAGCAAAGUCAUGAUAUUUUAACAUUACCAUUCUUUUCUUACUUAUUAGCUGAAAUAUUUCUACAC